GAUCUGUUGGCGCACGCGGUAGCGCACCCACAGUAACUUUGAUGUCUUGGCAGAAGUUACAUAUGUGCGAGACCCCAGUUCGACUCUGGGAUGGAUCA